CCCUUAGAUGUUCUGGGCCGCACGCGUGCUACACUGAGUGGAUCAGCGGGUCAGGUUGCGCGAAAGUGUUUCCUAAUCUUUAAAUCCGCUCGUGAUGGGGAUUGACGGUUGCAAUUUUCCGUCAUGAACGAGGAAUACCUUGUAAGCGCGGGUCAUCAUCCCGCGCUGAAUACGUCCCUGCCCUUUGUACACACCGCCCGUCGCUCCUACCGAUUGAGUGCUCAGGUGAAUAAUUCGGACUGCAGCAAUGUUUGGAUCCCGAACGUUGCAGCGGAAAGUUUAGUGAACCUUAUCACUUAGAGGAAGGAGAAGUCGUAACA
rnacentral:rRNA from 1 species